AAAAGUAAGAAUAAUUUGAUGGGCUUCUGUUAAUGUUCAUACAAAACCAGCCAUCAAACGUGCGAACGUAGUGCAACGUUCAGCUUCGUGAUAUCACGCGACUACCAAACCGGGGUGAAGUACAUGAUACUGUGAAAAUGAUAUCGAGCGUCGUCGUUUGAUCAUAUGCUGCUUGACCUCUAGGGUUAUCAUAGUUGCCACAGGAACACGCGCGGCUAGUCGUACGCGGUCGGAACUUGGGGUGCCGCGGCGGCGGCUGCAGCAUGUCGUGGAGCUAGCAGGCGACGACGUGCAACGGCUACUACGGCUCCCUCGACAGCAGCCACAACCGGCGCUUCCGCUCCGUCGACAGGUCUUACUAGGGCAGCCACCGCUCCAGCUACUGCUGCGGGGGCCUCUUGUGGUCACGCUGCGAGCCAUACGACUGCGACCUGACCGGCGACUUCAGCUUCGUGCACAGCUUCUACGGGUACCCGACGCGGCCGCCCAUGACGAAGUACGGCCGGAACUUGCGGCUGCUGUCACGUCUCAUGCGGCAGCGGCCUUCGGCGCACUACUAACACGGCCUCAGGUACUAGCUGGGCCGCCUCUUCUGGCUCCGUCCAUACGACUCGACGGACGGAGGGUGGGACUACCGGACUUCCGCGUGCGGCAUCAUGCUGCCCUGGAGUGAUGAGGAGUCGUAGCCGCAGAAGUGAUGCUUUGGGCUCCAACGACGUGGCUCUCACUCCUUAGGCCUGCUCAGGCCUCAGCCGCCCUCCGUCAUGCUCUUCCGGAACGGCUUCCAGGGGCGACAGACCCACCGCUCUCUGAGACGCGGCGGCGGCUCGGGGUACUCGGGUAGCCAGACCAGAAGCUCUUCCAACGGGCUGAGUCUGACCGACGUGGGCUUGACCUUCAAGAACUGCCACGACCUCGGGUCGCGCUCGCACAGCCACGACAUUCAGGGUCAGGGCCAGCUUGGUAGCGGCAUAAACUGUUAUAUGACCGUAACCCUCAACCUCGUCGGAGAGACCGCCUCGACGUCCCCUUGCGCCUCAUCCACGAGCUGCUCGACCCCAACUUCUCGCUCAGGCGGACGCGCACCGUGACGCUCGUGCCGAACGUGACGUGGGUACUGUGCAGCGACGGCCACAGCUACUCGUACCAGACCCAGUGCCGGCCGCUCGGCUACGGCUGCCACUAGUCCAUGAGGUCGCACGGGUCCCUCCACGGGUCGCACCACCCGUGCCAUUACAGGCUAACGAGGUGCAGUGGACGUGGUGGGAACUGCGGCCUCAUGUAGGCACACUAC
rnacentral:rRNA from 1 species